rnacentral:lncRNA from 10 species
AGCAUUGGGAUCUGUACACUUUGAACCAUUGACCUCUGGAGAACCUAAAGGUGUUGAUUCAAUGCCAGGAUAUGCAAAGAUGGACAGUCAGUGAAAGAAAGACAAACCCCUGCUUCUCUACAUUCUCUGAGACUUGGAAAACAUCUCUUAAUAAACAUCUGGUUGCUCAGAUCAUAUAGAGGCCUUACUUUGGUGGACGGCCAUCUACAACAUCACUGCCUGAAAUGAAACACAGAUGUUAACUGUUUAAUUGGACUGGCCUAUUCAUGGGAUUGAAAAGAUUGGUUCAGCUGCUUAUAAGAUGGUCC